GGGUACCUAGGGUUUCUGAUGGGAGGCUUGUAACUCUUGGUCACCUGGUACUCAGGACCAAGGUAGAAGUCUCCACUCUGUCCCAGGGCAUGUCAGCCUUGGCAGGGUGACAUCCUGCUGGAUAAUCUCCUCUGGGGGGCCGCCCCGGGCACAGUGUGUGAGCAGCAUCCCGGGCCUCCACCCACUAGCUGCCCGUAACACCCCUCCCUGGCUGUCACCAGGUGUUACCAGACGUCCGCUGGGGACAAAACUGACCCUGAUUGAGAACCACUGCUCUAUAGCAACAAUUUUCCCAAAUUGUUAUUUACAGAAAUACACUUGCUAAAAGGUGCGCGGUUUGAACCUUUUAGUAGAAUAUAGGGAAAGGUCUUUGUCUCGUCUUUGUCCUCCAGCUCUCUUCCAAAAGGCUCCUGUUGCUACUAGUUUCUUGUUUAUAACUGGAGAAGCACUUUGUACACACACACACACACACACACACACACACACACACACACACGUCACUUUAUUUCUCUCUGUGUCUUGGGAAACGUAAGUUUUCUGUAUCAUUUUUAUGUAAUGAUUUGUUUUAGAGAUUUGUUCAUAUCAGUACAUGUGUCGAGGGAAAAAAAUUGUGGCAAAGAAGCAUUCAUUAGCCACUGCGGGAAUAAGUGGAACCUACCACAACUGAAAUUAAAUAUACUUUUCAGUAUCUUGGCAGUUAGUCGCAUGCUUUUUUUCUUUUGAUCGUGUACUAUGAAGAGUUGUGAUAGUUGACGCUCUGCAUUUCGAGUCCUCACUGCAUUCCUGGGAUGAAUUCUACCAGGUCUUGCUGUGAGGUGUUUUCUUUGUCGUCGGCGUCGGCAUCCUGACUGCCAACAGUUUUCCAACACAUUUUCCAUGAUGUUACGUGCAGAAGGGACAUCAGUAUCUUCUUUCUUGGGUUGGAAAUUCUGUUUCACUAGCAUUUCAUCUUCAUGAAGGUAAUCUGGAAGCUUGCUCCCUUUCUGCAUCCCCUGUUUCAGAUUAAAGAGUGGGUAGGAUUCAUUCUUGCAACUGUCUGGACCUGGUGCUUUGGGGGUGGGUUGUUCUUUUACUUUAUGUCUUUUUUUUUUUGCCGUUUCUAGGGCCCCUCCCCUUGCAAAUGGAGGUUCCCAGGCCAGGGGUCUAAUCGGAGCUGUAGGUGUCAGGCUACGCCAGAGCCACAGCAACGAGGGAUCCGAAUAGCAUCUGCGACCUACACCGCAGCUCACGGCAACGCUGGAUCCUCAACCCACUGAACAAGGCCAGGGAUCGAACCCCGCAACCUCAUGGUUCCUAGCUGGAUUCGUUGACCACUGUGCCAUGAUGAGAACUCCAACUUUAUGUCAUUAACGAUACAUUUUUACUUAUAUUAUCAGUUUUAAAUAUUACCUUUGACUUCCAACAAUACAGAAUAGAAACCCUGGAAUUCUCUUCUUCUGCUUCCUUUCUUCUCUUUUUUUUCCCCCUCACCAAUUUUCUCUCUAGAUGGUCACGAUUGAUAAUAUUUGCCUUCUAUUGUAGGACCCUAAUUCCUGCACUUAUCUUGGUCUUAAAACUGAGAUGAAUCAGUUCUCACAUCAACCCUUCUGCUGUGGUUCCCUCCUUCUCAUCAGAAUUGUGUUCCUUGCAUCUUUGAAUACUCAAAAAUAUUUGUCCCUUGCUCAGAUGUUUGAAUGAAGGUCUAGCUGAGGAAACGAAAAAGUCUUGGAAGAUUUGUCGGCCUGGUUUCUUUUUCUCCUACAGUGGAGUCAGGUUUUGGAGAAGGGGGAGGCUGGUUAGAACUGUUCUCCUUUGCAAGCAUCUCGAUGUGUUUUCCUGUGUGUUCAAAGCCCUUUUGUGUGAUGAUUAAACUCCAGCAAUGUCGUGAGACUGUAUCGGGGUGUUAAUUGUCCUGUCUUCCUUUCCUCUUGUGCUUCGGUGAGGCUUCGCUCUUCAGAAACACCUUUUCUUUUAUCUUGUAAAAAUUUUCUUGAAGUACGUCUCUCUCGCUCUCUUCGUUUGGUUCUGUUGACUGGGGACACCGACUAUGCUCCUGUCGGAUCUUUAAAACUGUUUCGUAUCUAUGACGUCCUCUUUAACCGCCUUAGAUUCUUUCUCAGUUUGGUUUUAUUUCAUUUUGUUUUCUCGGUCAUGUUCUACGUGUGUCUUUUUCUCGGGGUGUUUUGCUUCCGUGGGGGCGUUCGUUGGAUGAGGGAUGUGAUUUUUCUUUUCAACUCCUUCUCUGGGCUCCGCCAGCCAUGCCUCGUUCACCUCCUCGUGCUCCUCUUCCACUUCCUUCCAGACCCUCCUGGCCCCGGUCCAGUUCUCUGCUGGUUCCUCAAGAGGGAUCUCUGGACUCGGAUGCUGGUCUGGUGGGAGACGCACCUGCCUGACCUGCCUCCAUCUGUCCUUUGCUCUCCCCGCUCCCCCUUUCCUUCCCCCGAUCCUCUCUGGGUCUGUAUCCCGCUCGGUUCCCUCUGUGAUAACUGGUCACAUUUACACGAGGCGAGCACUAUUGUGAGUGAACCCAGCGUCGUGACUGGCCUAGAACUUUCCUGGUUUUGCACAGCCAACCCCACAUUCCAGGACAGCCUCCAUCCCAGGCAGUUGGGCAAGGUUGGUCAGCCUGGUGCUGAAGAAACUCUUCUUGGCAAGAGGUUGUGUGGGAGAGGUCGGCACUGCGUUCUGAGCCAUGGGCACCUCUCCUGGUUCGUAGGAAAGCACCUUCCACGGGGAGCCGUUUGGUUUUCCUUCCUUCCUAAAUUAACAGCAUCCAUAUGGUUUUUUUAUACUUAAAAUAUGCCAGCUCUUACAACCCCAAAAGACAUUUUUCUUAAAAUUUUGAUAUUUACUAUGGUUUAAAAAAUUUUUUUUGGAUGUAGCUAUAAAAAUCCCUCCUUCUCCCCAGUGAAUUGGCCGCCUCUGAUUGAACACAGGGAAAGACCAGCCAAAGGAGUGCAGGCACAUUUGGAAAGCUUGGCUUUCGGUCUCUACAUUUCCCUCUUCUUCCAGCGUUUUAAAGCCAAACUGGGGAGGACUUUAUGCUUCUGCUUUUCAUAUGCAGGGACGGGUCUAGGGAAGCAAAAGAUGGCCCAGAUACAGGGGCGAGGUGCUGGGCGGGAUGGUUCCGGGGCCUGCAACAGGGGGACAAAGCUGGCAUUGAGGCUCUCAAAGGCAACAGGGGUCCUAAAUCCUAAAUCCCCCCUGUACCCCUGAGGUGUACUUCUUCCUUGGUGGGAACCCUCAAAAUGUGCAAAGGGUUUCUGAGAUGCCCACAGCUGUGUGAUGAGCGUCUUCGUGGGCAGCUGGGCAAAGGGAAAGGACUCAAGAAAAGCCACCUCCAGGGGAAGGGCAACGCCUGCCCAGGAAGAGCAGCCCCUGAAAAGGCCACACAGGGCUGUAAGCAGCCCUCCGGUUGGUCACGGGACAUGGAGGGCUUGGUGUCAUCCUCAGAUGCCCUAAUGUGGCUUAAUUACCAGGACGGAGGCCUGUCUCGUGCUGCUAAUGGGCCCGCAGCCAGGAGCCAUCCUUGAUAAAUCAAUAUGCAAGGAAUUCAAUGAGAUUGCCUGGCUGAGUUUGGCCCCGUGGCUGAGGAAACCAUACAACACGUGGUCGAUUUUGGAGGAAUGUUUCCAACCGCUUGAUGUGUUUGUUUCCUUCCGUAGGCUCCCGGGGAGAGGAGGGGUGACGAAACGCCAGGUAUCUGCAGUGUGGCUCCCAUCCCGGAUCAGCUGGGCCCCUAAGGUUUGUGCCUCCUAGAACACGCGCGGUUCUGGAAGGAAUGAUGAUGGGGCCGUGUGCCGUGGGAGCAUCGCUCUCAGGAAUGCUGCAGAAUGUUCAGGGUGAACAGUGCAACUCUGUGGAAAAAGGGGCAAUGCCUGCUUUAGGUGACGCGGAGAAAGCUGAGAAUGAUUCAGCCUGUGCUGGCCCGGGAAUUCAUGGGCCGCAAAUCCCAGGCUGCAUUCCAGUUCAUGGAAGGUUCCUUUUGGACCCGAGAUGAUGCCAUAAGAGAUUCCUUCUUGACAGCAUCCCUCCGACGUCUGUGGCUCCACUUUUAGUUCCAGCAUGAGUCCUGUUGUCCAGAUGAGGAAACCAGAGCUUAGAAAGGUGCGUACUUGCGCUUGAGUCACUCUGUCCUCUAGUGGUGACACUGCAAGCGGACGCUUGUGCCCACACAGGGAUGCGUGUUGUUCCAAGCUGUGCUUGAAGAACGGACUCUGAAUGAGCCGCGUCUGCCGAGGGCUGGCUGGAGGCAGCCAGACGCUGGUCUGAGGAUGCUCAGGGCAACUGACCCAUCCCGACCUUCACAGCCCUGCCUGUAGAGGGUCCUCAUGACAGAUGGACAGGAGAGAGAAGCUGGAUGCAGCAUGGGAACACCAUGACGAAGAAGCCCAGAAUGUCAGCUGCUUCCACCCCCGGUCCCCGGAGACAGCGGGAGCCACUGCGGUUCUGAUCUUGGCUUUCUUGCAGCCAAGCCAAGGAGGAGACGAUACUGGAUGAUCAAGACAGUGGCAGUGGGAGUUCCCAUCGUGGUUCCGCCAGUUAAGGACCCCACGUCGUUUCUGUGAGGAUGCAGGUUCCAUCCUUGGCCUCACUCAGUGGGUUAAGGAUCUGGUGUUGCUGAGAGCUGUGGUGUAGGUCGAAGAUGCAGCUC
rnacentral:lncRNA from 1 species